rnacentral:rRNA from 1 species
ACGGGUGAGUAACGCGUGGGAACGUACCUUUUGGUUCGGAACAACACAGGGAAACUUGUGCUAAUACCGGAUAAGCCCUUACGGGGAAAGAUUUAUCGCCGAAAGAUCGGCCCGCGUCUGAUUAGCUAGUUGGUGGGGUAAAGGCCCACCAAGGCGACGAUCAGUAGCUGGUCUGAGAGGAUGAUCAGCCACAUUGGGACUGAGACACGGCCCAAACUCCUACGGGAGGCAGCAGUGGGGAAUAUUGGACAAUGGGCGCAAGCCCGAUCCAGCCAUGCCGCGUGAGUGAUGAAGGCCCUAGGGUUGUAAAGCUCUUUUGUGCGGGAAGAUAAUGACGGUACCGCAAGAAUAAGCCCCGGCUAACUUCGUGCCAGCAGCCGCGGUAAUACGAAGGGGGCUAGCGUUGCUCGGAAUCACUGGGCGUAAAGGGUGCGUAGGCGGGUCUUUAAGUCAGGGGUGAAAUCCUGGAGCUCAACUCCAGAACUGCCUUUGAUACUGAAGAUCUUGAGUUCGGGAGAGGUGAGUGGAACUGCGAGU